UUUCCGGACUGAGCCCAGAUGAUGAGAAAAAAAAAGUCAUCUGUGCAUUAGUUACUUUAUUUAUUAUCUUACGAAAGUUAGUCACUGGUGAUUCUACAAAAGUAAGCGGAUAUAUGCCAGACAUCAUUUGAAGGAAUGUCUCACUUGAAGAUCAGGAUCCAGAAUAUUGCGUUUCCUAGGAGUCUAAAGGAAGCUCCCUCUCAUACUCACAUGCUGCUUCAUCUGUGUAUUUGCAGUACUGAUAAAUAAAGGUGAAAAAAAAAAAAAACUAAACUACAUUUGAGAGUUAAAUUCAUGCAGUAUAUAUAUGAAAAACCUGUUUGUUUACAACUAAAGUUGUGUGAUUUCAGUGUGUCUGCAGGUCACAGUAGAGGGUGUUAUUGGUGGUUCUGUUGUCCUGCCGUGUUCUUUAACUCAGCAGGAUCUUAAACCUCAAAACAUUAAUGUGCACUGGAGACACAAUGGCAGCAUAUAUGUUUAUGAUACAGUUAAAGGUAAAGAUUCACUAGAGACACAGGACCCAUGGUACAAGAACAGAGCUGAAACUUUCCCUGAAGUGUAUAAAAGAGGAAACUUUUCCAUCAAACUCAACAAUCUUCAACACGCUGAUGCAGGAAAAUACACCUGCUACUUCACAAACCAGUCUGAUUCUAAACAGAAUACCAUAGAGCUGAUCAUCAGUGAAUCAACAGCCGAACAAGGAGGCAAAUCUACUGAACAAGAAAACCAAAGAGAAGAAACUGGAAGAGACAAUUUAGGGAAAUCACUGUUCUGGGUUUACAGUGCAGUACCUCUAUUAUUGUUAAUGCUAGGAGCCAGUGUAAUAUUUUACUGGAGAAAAAAAAAAGAACCAGUAACAGUGAUAGAAAUGAAAUAAAUUUCAUUGUUAUUUAUUAUUUAUGUUUAGUGCAGAAGAUACUUUUGUGCAGUUAUAUUCAUUUGCACUGCAUAAUUGUAUAACAGAAUGAGAUCUUGAAACAGUAAAAUUGUUUGCUAAGUGCCAAAUGAGCUAAUCAGUAUGUUGCUGCCUUUAUAACUGUUCUGUACCGCAGGUGUUGUGUUUGCCAGUAAUAAAUGUAUUUUUUUAUUCGUUAUUCACGUUCAUUACACAUCACUCAUCUAUUUUUUGAAACAUGGUGCUCAGGGUUGAGAUCCACUGCACAGCUCUAGAGACUUAUGCUGGAAAAGCACAAGUUGAUGUUAUA